AGACGGGACCGCACAAGCGGUGGAUGAUGUGGAUUAAUUCGAUGCUACGCGAAAACCUUACCUACCCUUGACAUGUCUGGAACCUUGCUGAGAGGCGAGGGUGCCUUCGGGAGCCAGAACACAGGUGCUGCAUGGCUGUCGUCAGCUCGUGCCGUGAGAUGUUGGGUUAAGUCCCGCAACGAGCGCAACCCUUGUCAUUAGUUGCCAUCAUUUAGUUGGGCACUCUAAUGAGACUGCCGGUGACAAACCGGAGGAAGGUGGGGAUGACGUCAAGUCCUCAUGGCCCUUAUGGGUAGGGCUUCACACGUCAUACAAUGGUCGGUACAGAGGGUUGCCAAGCCGCGAGGUGGAGCCAAUCCCUUAAAGCCGAUCGUAGUCCGGAUCGUAGUCUGCAACUCGACUACGUGAAGUCGGAAUCGCUAGUAAUCGCAGAUCAGCAUGCUGCGGUGAAUACGUUCCCGGGUCUU
rnacentral:rRNA from 1 species